rnacentral:rRNA from 1 species
GACGAACGCUGGCGGCGUGCCUAAUACAUGCAAGUCGAGCGAUGUUUCUUUCUCCUUGCCUCGCUUUACCGAACGGCGAACGGGUGCGUAACGCUUGGUAACUCUGCGUUAACGCGGGGGACAACAUUGGGUAACGCUUGCUAAUACCUCAUAACAACUUUUAACAUAAUUUUUAAGUUGGAAAGAUGCUAUUGGAUCCCUUAACGAUGCUCCCGCGUUGUAUUAGCUAGUUGGUGAGGUAAAGGCUCACCAAGGCGAUGAUACAUAGCCGACCUGAGAGGGUGAUCGGCCACACUGGGACUGAGACACGGCCCAAACUCCUACGGGAGGCAGCAGUAGGGAAUCUUCGGCAAUGGACGAAAGUCUGACCGAGCAACGCCGCGUGAGUGAAGAAGGUUUUCGGAUCGUAAAACUCUGUUGGUAGAGAAGAACGAGGGUGAGAGUGGAAAGUUCAUCCAUUGACGGUAACUACCCAGAAAGGGACGGCUAACUACGUG